rnacentral:rRNA from 1 species
GCAUAUCAAUAAGCGGAGGAAAAGAAACCAACAGGGAUUGCCCUAGUAACGGCGAGUGAAGCGGCAACAGCUCAAAUUUGAAAUCUGGCCUCGGCCCGAGUUGUAAUUUGCAGAGGAAGCUUUGGGCGCGGCACCGACCGAGUCCCCUGGAACGGGGCGCCAUAGAGGGUGAGAGCCCCGUAUGGUCGGACGCCUAGCCUGUGUAAAGCUCCUUCGACGAGUCGAGUAGUUUGGGAAUGCUGCUCAAAAUGGGAGGUAAAUUUCUUCUAAAGCUAAAUACCGGCCAGAGACCGAUAGCGCACAAGUAGAGUGAUCGAAAGAUGAAAAGCACUUUGAAAAGAGGGUUAAAUAGCACGUGAAAUUGUUGAAAGGGAAGCGCUUGUGACCAGACUUGCGCCCGGCUGAUCAUCCGGUGUUCUCACCGGUGCACUCUGCCGGGCUCAGGCCAGCAUCGGUUCUCGCGGGGGGACAAAGGCCCUGGGAACGUAGCUCCUCCGGGAGUGUUAUAGCCCAGGGUGCAAUGCCCUCGCGGGGACCGAGGUUCGCGCAUCUGCAAGGAUGCUGGCGUAAUGGUCACCAGCGACCCGUCUUGAA